AAUCGGCAGAAGACGGCGCUGAUUGGUCACGAUCAGGGUGCGGGCGGUGCCCGGCUGGUUUAACGGGGAUGGCGGGGUGGGCUUGGGCGGCUGAGCGGAGGGGUUCCGGGCGUCCCUCCGCGACCACCGCUCGCCAUGCGCCCGCUUUCUCGCCUGUAAGGGCUGCCUCUACUGGCUGCGGAGCUGCGUCCCGGUGCGCAGCCACAACCGGCAGCACGGCACCGCUGUCCUCCAGGAUGUCAGCUCAAGAGUCCAAGCAUCGGCAUCUGCAGCAUUCUCCAGCUGUCUUACCUCACUGAAGUGGAGAGAUGAUAUCAGGUUUCCCUCAGGGAGCAUUCCACGGCCUUCACUUCUCCAAGCGGCUGUAGUGACACUGUUUCCUUUCCAUCUUAGCCGGUGAAUCUGCUUGUGUGCACAAAGGCUACAAGGUCACUCACUAGUUAUGCAACUACUCCCUUUGCCCUUUUAAAAUAUAACUUGCCUUCUUGAAAUACAA